rnacentral:rRNA from 1 species
AAGCUAAUACCCGGAUAGGAUCUUCGCCUUCAUGGGAGAUGAUUGAAAGAUGGUUUCGGCUAUCACUUACAGAUGGGCCCGCGGUGCAUUAGCUAGUUGGUGAGGUAACGGCUCACCAAGGCAACGAUGCAUAGCCGACCUGAGAGGGUGAUCGGCCACACUGGGACUGAGACACGGCCCAGACUCCUACGGGAGGCAGCAGUAGGGAAUCUUCCGCAAUGGACGAAAGUCUGACGGAGCAACGCC